GAUGAACGCUGGCGGCGUGCCUAAUACAUGCAAGUCGAGCGAACAGACGAGGAGCUUGCUCCUCUGACGUUAGCGGCGGACGGGUGAGUAACACGUGGAUAACCCACCUAUAAGACUGGGAUAACUUCGGGAAACCGGAGCUAAUACCGGAUAAUAUAUUGAACCGCAUGGUCCAAUAGUGAAAGACGGUUUUGCUGUCACUUAUAGAUGGAUCCGCGCCGCAUUAGCUAGUUGGUAAGGUAACGGCUUACCAAGGCAACGAUGCGUAGCCGACCUGAGAGGGUGAUCGGCCACACUGGAACUUAGACACGGUCCAGACUCCUACGGGAGGCAGCGAUAGAGAAUCUUCCGCAAUGGGCGAAAGCGUGACGGAGCAACGCCGCGUGAGUGAUGAAGGUCUUCGGAUCGUAAGACUCUGUUAUUAGGGAAGAACAGAUGUGUAAGUAACUAUGCACGUCUUGACGGUACCUAAUCAGAAAGCCACGGCUAACUACGUG
rnacentral:rRNA from 1 species